UGCAGUCGACGAUGAUCUCCAGCUUGCUGGGGGGAUUAGUGGCGAACGGGUGAGUAACACGUGAGUAACCUGCCCUUGACUCUGGGAUAAGCCUGGGAAACUGGGUCUAAUACCGGAUACGACCGUCCCGCGCAUGCGGUGGUGGUGGAAAGCUUUUGCGGUUUUGGAUGGACUCGCGGCCUAUCAGCUUGUUGGUGGGGUAAUGGCCUACCAAGGCGACGACGGGUAGCCGGCCUGAGAGGGUGACCGGCCACACUGGGACUGAGACACGGCCCAGACUCCUACGGGAGGCAGCAGUGGGGAAUAUUGCACAAUGGGCGAAAGCCUGAUGCAGCGACGCCGCGUGAGGGAUGACGGCCUUCGGGUUGUAAACCUCUUUCAGUAGGGAAGAAGCGAAAGUGACGGUACCUGCAGAAGAAGCGCCGGCUAACUACGUGCCAGCAGCCGCGGUAAUACGUAGGGCGCAAGCGUUAUCCGGAAUUAUUGGGCGUAAAGAGCUCGUAGGCGGUUUGUCGCGUCUGCUGUGAAAGACCGGGGCUCAACUCCGGUUCUGCAGUGGGUACGGGCAGACUAGAGUGAUGUA
rnacentral:rRNA from 1 species